rnacentral:rRNA from 1 species
UACGGAGGGUGCGAGCGUUGUCCGGAAUCACUGGGCGUAAAGAGCGUGUAGGCGGCCUGAUAGGUCAGCUGUGAAAACUCGAGGCUCAACCUCGAGACGUCGGUUGAAACCAUCUGGCUAGAGUCCGGAAGAGGAGUGUGGAAUUCCCGGUGUAGCGGUGAAAUGCGCAGAUAUCGGGAAGAACACCCGUGGCGAAGGCGGCACUCUGGGACGGUACUGACGCUGAGACGCGAAGGCGUGGGGAGCGAACAGG